UACGUAGGGUGCGAGCGUUAUUCGGAAUGACUGGGCGUAAAGCGUGCGCAGGCGGUUUUGUAAGCCAGAUGUGAAAGCCCCGGGCUUAACCUGGGAAUGGCAUUUGGGACUGCAAGGCUUGAGUGCGGCAGAGGAGACUGGAAUUCCUGGUGUAGCAGUGAAAUGCGUAGAUAUCAGGAGGAAUACCGAUGGCGAAGGCAGGUCUCUGGGCUGACACUGACGCUCAUGCACGAAAGCGUGGGGAGCAAACAGG
rnacentral:rRNA from 1 species